rnacentral:rRNA from 1 species
AGAGUCAACGGCGGAUGCCUUGGCGCCUGAAGCCGAAGAAGGACGUGGGAGGCUGCGAUAAGCCACGGGGAGCUGCCUACCAAGCGCGGAUCCGUGGAUGUCCGAAUGGGGAAACCCGGCACCCGUCAUGGGGUGUCACCCUGGUCUGAACGCAUAGGACCAGUGGAGGGAACCGGGGGAAUUGAAACAUCUCAGUACCCCGAGGAGAGGAAAACAACAGUGACUCCCUGAGUAGCGGCGAGCGAAACGGGAUGAGCCUAAACCGAGUUGGUGUUAAAGCCUGAUGGCGUUGCCAAUUCGGGGUUGUGGGAGCCGAUAGAAGGUGCAUCAGAACCUUCACGGAGUUACAAAACCAAUUGCUUAGUGGAAGCAUCCAGGAAAGAUGCGCCGCAGAGGGUAACAGCCCCGUACACGAAAAGCAUUGGACUCCGAUCGGAUUUCCCGAGUAGCGCCGGAUCCGGGAAAGCCGGCGUGAAUCUGCGAGGACCACCUCGUAAGGCUAAGUACUCACAGGCGACCGAUAGUGAACUAGUACCGUGAGGGAAAGGUGAAAAGUACCCCGGGAGGGGAGUGAAAUAGUACCUGAAACCGUUGGCUUACAAACAGUCAGAGCGUCGUCGGCACUUUGUGCCGGCCGUGAUGGCGUGCCUUUUGAAGAAUGAGCCAACGAGUUACGGUGUGUGGCGAGGUUAACCCGAGAGGGGUAGCCGAAGCGAAAGCGAGUCUGAAUAGGGCGUUGAGUCGCAUGCUGUAGACCCGAAGCCGAGUGAGCUAGCCAUGGGCAGGCUGAAGCGGGGGUAAGACCCCGUGGAGGGCCGAACCCACCCUGGUUGAAAACAGGGGGGAUGACCUGUGGUUAGGGGUGAAAGGCCAAUCAAACUCGGUGAUAGCUGGUUCUCCCCGAAAUGCAUUUAGGUGCAGCGUCGGGCGUUCAGCAUCGGAGGUAGAGCACUGAAUGGGCAAGGGGGCCUACAAGCUUACUGACCCCAAUCAAACUCCGAAUGCCGAUGCUUUAGAGCCUGGCAGUGAGACUACGAGGGAUGAGCUUCGUUAGUCGAGAGGGAAACAGCCCAGACCGCCAGCUAAGGCCCCUAAUUUUUGACUAAGUGGAAAACGAUGUGGGAACGCGAAGACAGCCAGGAGGUUGGCUCAGAAGCAGCCAUCCUUAAAAGAGUGCGUAAUAGCUCACUGGUCGAGUGGUCCUGCGCGGACAAUGUAACGGGGCUCAAGUCAAAAGCCGAAGCUGCGGAUUUCCAUUCCGCCUGAAUUUCGAUUCGGGAGUGACGGAGUGGGAGUGGUAGGGGAGCGUCGAUCCUGCUGAGAAGCGGCGGUGGAAACCGUCGUGGAGCGUGGUCGAGUGAGAAUGUUGGUAUGAGUAGCGAGAGAGGGGUGAGAAACCCCUCCGCCGUAAGCCCAAGGGUUCCUGGGGAAGGCUAAUCCUCCCAGGGUAAGUCGGGAGCUAAGGCGAGGCCGAGAGGCGUAGUCGAUGCACAACUGGUUGAUAUUCCAGUACUUCCGUGUCCGCGCCCAUUCCAAUACCGGUGUCCUAAGGGGCUGUCCUUCGGGGCGAACCGACCGACCCGGUGGCGGAAAGCGAAGGAGGGACGCAGGAGGGUAGGUGAGCCCAGGCGUUGGUUGUCCUGGGGUAAGCGUGUAGGGAGGGGUCUAGGCAAAUCCGGACCCCGUGAAUCCCGAGACGCGAUGCCGAGCCGAUUAGGCGAAGUCACUAAUCCCAUGCUGCCGAGAAAAGCCUCUAGCGAGCUGGCACGGUGCCCGUACCCCAAACCGACACAGGUGGGCGGGUAGAGAAUACCAAGGCGAUCGGGAGAACUGUGGUUAAGGAACUCGGCAAAAUUCCUCCGUAACUUCGGGAGAAGGAGGGCCUCGAUAGGGUGAUGGACCUAGCGUCCUGAUGCCUGAGGGGGCCGCAGUGAAUUGGGGAAAGCGACUGUUUACUAAAAACACAGGAGCGUGCGAAGUCGUAAGACGAUGUAUACGCUCUGACGCCUGCCCGGUGCCGGAAGGUUACGGGGAAGGGUUAGCCCUCGGGCGAAGCUCUGAACCUAAGCCCCGGUAAACGGCGGCCGUAACUAUAACGGUUAGUACUCUAACCUGGCCGUUAGAAAACCCUGCUAUAUGCUGGAACAUCCGAGUAUCCGGUGGUACUAACCCUUGUCACACCCACUUCGUAGGGUGCCGACAUGGGAAGUGAAAAUCCAUCCGGUGCGGACAAUCAGCAGGAAACUGCCAGUCCCUGUCUUGUGCUCGAUCCCAACUGGCUUGCCGGUUUCGUGGAUGGUGAAGGUUCCUUCACCGUGUCGGUUCAUCGCAGUUCGACGAUGCACCGACACGGUGGCUGGCAACUGCAGCCGGCGUUCCACGUCUACCAGCACCAGGACCAUCGAGAGGUUCUCGAAGCGAUGGUUCCGACCUUCGGCUGCGGGCGAAUUCGCUCGAAAGGCCCAAGGAGCAGCGUCUUGACCUACACGGUCGAGUAGCUCCGGAACCUGGAAACGGCUGUACUUCCGUUCUUCGAGACGUAUCCUCUCGUCGUGAAAUGUGCCGACUUCACUGCAUUUGCCGCCAUCGUGCGGUCGAUGCGGCGAAAGGAGCAUCUGACGAGGUCGGGGUUCGAGCACCUGGUGCGACUUGCGUAUGGCAUGAACGCCAAUGGCAAGCAACGCUCCAGGAGCAUUGACCUGGUACUGGCAGGAUCCUCAGAGACUGCACGCGGGGCUCUCCGUUCGUAGUCACUCCAGUUCCCACUGGG